rnacentral:lncRNA from 1 species
UACUCUAGAAUUCUCCAUAGAAUUCUAGCACAUGUACCUAGCUAGAAAGUAAUAGAACUCUCUAGACUCUCUAGAAUUCUCCAUAGAAUUCUAGCACAUUUACAUAGCUAGGAAAUGGUAGAACUCUCUAGACACUCUAGAGCUUGGCAAGCCUCAACUAUAAAUAUGGGAUGGCAUUUGGCAUUUGUAUAACACACAACACACAACAUAUAAAGCCAAAAAAA